UACGUAGGUGGCAAGCGUUGCCCGGAAUCAUUGGGCGUAAAGCGCGCGUAGGCGGCCCGUUAAGUCCGCUGUCAAAGUCCAGGGCUCAACCCUGGAAAGCCGGUGGAUACUGUCGGGCUAGAGUCCGGAAGAGGCGAGUGGAAUUCCAGGUGUAGCGGUGAAAUGCGUAGAUAUCUGGAGGAACACCGGUGGCGAAGGCGGCAUCCUGGACCGGUAUUGACACUGAGGCGCGAAAGCCAGGGGAGCAAACGGG
rnacentral:rRNA from 1 species